rnacentral:rRNA from 1 species
CCUACGGGAGGCAGCAGUGGGGAAUUUUGGACAAUGGGCGAAAGCCUGAUCCAGCAAUGCCGCGUGCAGGAAGAAGGCCUUCGGGUUGUAAACUGCUUUUGUACGGAACGAAACGGUCUGCUUUAAUACAGUGGGCUAAUGACGGUACCGUAAGAAUAAGCACCGGCUAACUACGUGCCAGCAGCCGCGGUAAUACGUAGGGUGCGAGCGUUAAUCGGAAUUACUGGGCGUAAAGCGUGCGCAGGCGGUUAUAUAAGACAGUUGUGAAAUCCCCCGGGGCUCAACCUGGGAAUUGCAUCUGUGACUGUAUAGCUAGAGUACGGUAGAGGGGGAUGGAAUUCCGCGUGUAGCAGUGAAAUGCGUAGAUAUGCGGAGGAACACCGAUGGCGAAGGCAAUCCCCUGGACCUGUACUGACGCUCAUGCACGAAAGCGUGGGGAGCAAACAGGAUUAGAUACCCUGGUAGUCCACGCCCUAAACGAUGUCAACUGGUUGUUGGGUGCNUAGUACUACUAGUAACGAAGACACGACGUGAGUGUACGCCGUCGGAGGUACGGCCGCGACGUAGUAACGUACGAAGAAAGUAGUACGGCGUGAGACGUAGCCGACGGACGACGACGAGGGAGGAGGG